AUUGAACGCUGGCGGAAUGCUUUACACAUGCAAGUCGAGCGGCAGCACGGGGGCAACCCUGGUGGCGAGCGGCGAGCGGGUGAGUAAUACAUCGGAACAUGCCCAGUCGUGGGGGAUAACACUUCGAAAGAAGUGCUAAUACCGCAUACGUCCUGAGGGGGAAAGCGGGGGAUCGCAAGACCUCGCGCGAUUGGAGUGGCCGAUGUCAGAUUAGCUAGUUGGUGGGGUAAAGGCCUACCAAGGCAACGAUCUGUAGCUGGUCUGAGAGGAUGAUCAGCCACACUGGGACUGAGACACGGCCCAGACUCCUACGGGAGGCAGCAGUGGGGAAUUUUGGACAAUGGGGGCAACCCUGAUCCAGCCAUUCCGCGUGAGUGAAGAAGGCCUUCGGGUUGUAAAGCUCUUUCGGCAGGAACGAAACGGUGAGCUCUAACAUAGCUUGCUAAUGACGGUACCUGAAGAAGAAGCACCGGCUAACUACGUG
rnacentral:rRNA from 1 species